rnacentral:rRNA from 1 species
UACGAAGGGAGCUAGCGUUGUUCGGAAUCACUGGGCGUAAAGGGUGCGUAGGUGGGUGUGUGCGUUAGAUGUGAAAUCCCCGGGCUUAACCUGGGAACUGCAUUUAAUACGGCACAUCUAGAGUGCGAGAGGGGAAAGCGGAAUGGCGAGUGGAGCAGUGAAAUGCAUUGAGAUUCGCUAGAACACCAGAGGCGAAGGCGGCUUUCUGGCUCGCUACUGACACUAAGGCACGAAAGCGUGGGGAGCAAACAGG